GGCCAUUUCAAAUCAUUCACAUCCCAAAUGUAGGUUCUUCUGUCUUCUGGUUGGUGAAUUAUAUUUAUUAGGAUCUUAUUUUUAGCAUUUCAGUACAAAUAGUAGGUUUGGGUACCUUAUUUUUAUUGUUUUUACUCAUCAGUUACGAAUAAGGCAUACCUUAGAACCUUGGGUUAAAUUUUUUCAAGUUAUACCAGUGAACUUGGUUUAAAUACAACUGUAGUAACUUGCUUUAUCAUGUUUCCUGUUUAAUUGGAUGAGAAUUACAUGCACUCAUUCACUUGUUCUUUGUGUUUGUAGGAAAAACUCUGUUCUCAGCUACCUCAUUAUGUCGUGUUGUGCUUGAUCCCCUGCCAACUUAGAAGAAUUCAACACAUUCUGUUCUUUAACAAAAGCUUGGAAGCAGGCAGUCAGCGGCCUUGAGGAAUACAAUUCUCUAAGGCCUCUUCCAUUUUACUACUUAAAAAACAAAAAAACAAAAACAAAAAAAAAGAAAAAAGCACUUACAACCAGGAGGAACAAUAAUUCUCCUAGAGUUGCUGCAAAAUGAUUACUUGAAACUCAACUUGAACUUUAAAGAGUCUUUAAAAGGCUGUGUUUUCAUAAUGCAGAAAAGUAGUAUAUUUAAAUGCCACUGCUGUGUAAAACAGAGGGCUUGAUUUCCAUUCUUGUUAGCAUCAGACAAGAAAAUGUGUCCAUCUGUCAUCUGACCCAGUAUUUGGGAUUUGGGUGCUUGAGGAUACUGUUUUUUUCGUUUUCUAUAAGGUGCUAUUGCUUCCCAAAAAUCUUUAAUUUUGAUGAAAAUCUGCUCAUUGCUAAGUUCCUCCUCACUCAAAGUGUUCCCUAAGUGCAGAGUUGAGGUUGGCAGAACUAUAUAGAGUUGGAUGAUACUUAAAAUCAUGAAUGAUGUGAUUUGUUCCAUGUGUCCAUGGAACAUCCCUCAACUUCCUCCAGUAUGCGCCGUCUGCACCCCGCACGUGGUGGCCUCCAUCCUCCCUACUGUCUGUCAGCUUGCCUGGUCGGUCCCCAAGUCAGGAGGAGGGAACUGAGGAGGCUCACCAGUGGUAGGCAAGACUCCUCCUCCCAGGAGAUCUUGUAAUGCCCAGUUUCAGGGCACAGUUGUACACAGCCCUACUUAAAUGGAGGACUUCAGUGAUGCCGUGGCCGAAAGAGUUAUGCCCAUUUCUAAAAGCCUGGCAUACUUGGUAUAUUUUUCCUGGUGCUUAAGUUGUACCACGUAUAGCCAAGUUUAACUGUCCUUAAGCAUUAAUAAGAUUUAAUUUUUAUGUUUGUGCUUUUCAGAGUAAAGGGCUUGCUUUCAAUAGUAGAAUGGCAAAGCUUCUCCUCCAAUGACAAUCUGUUAGCACCCUGUUGACUUAGCUCAGGACAUGAGACUGACUUAGCUCAGGACAUGAGACAUUUCCUGGAAGUGAUUUCCAUGAGAACAAAGGCUUAUUCCUUUAACUUAACCCAGACUUUGUUAUUUUAAUUAUUUUCAGGCAAUCAUCUUUAUAUACUUCCCUUGCAAACCCAGUGGUUGAGAGCGUAGGCCUUGGUGUCAGGUGCAUCUGGGGUUGGGGGCUUCUGCCACACUUAUUGCUCUGUGACUUGAGAAGCUCUUUAACCCCAAGGCUGUAUUUCUUAUGCGGAAGAAGAAUAGCAGGAGGAUUUACCUCUGUGGCACUUUGGGAGGCCGAGGCGGGCAGAUCACCUGAGGUCAGGAGUUUGAGACCAGCCUUACCAACAUGGAGAUUAGCUGGGCAUGAUGGCACAUGCCUAUAAUCCCAGCUACUUGGGAGACUGAGGCAGGAUAAUCUCUUGAACCCAGGAGGUGGAGGUUGCGGUGAACCAAGAUGGUGCCAUUGCACUCCAGCCUUGGCAACAAGGGCAAAGCUCCAUCUGAAAAGAAAAAAAAAA
ensembl:lncRNA